rnacentral:rRNA from 1 species
CACGUAGGGCGCAAGCGUUGUCCGGAAUUAUUGGGCGUAAAGAGCUUGUAGGCGGUUUGUCGCGUCUGCUGUGAAAAUCCGGGGCUCAACCCCGGACUUGCAGUGGGUACGGGCAGACUAGAGUGUGGUAGGGGAGACUGGAAUUCCUGGUGUAGCGGUGAAAUGCGCAGAUAUCAGGAGGAACACCGAUGGCGAAGGCAGGUCUCUGGGCCACUAACUGACGCUGAGAAGCGAAAAGCAUGGGGAGCGAACAGG